GACGAACGCUGGCGGCGUGCUUAACACAUGCAAGUCGAACGGAAAGGCCCUGCUUUUGUGGGGUGCUCGAGUGGCGAACGGGUGAGUAACACGUGAGUAACCUGCCCUUGACUUUGGGAUAACUUCAGGAAACUGGGGCUAAUACCGGAUAGGAGCUCCUGCUGCAUGGUGGGGGUUGGAAAGUUUCGGCGGUUGGGGAUGGACUCGCGGCUUAUCAGCUUGUUGGUGGGGUAGUGGCUUACCAAGGCUUUGACGGGUAGCCGGCCUGAGAGGGUGACCGGCACCAUGGGGAAGGAGAGCCGGCCAGGACCCCGACGGGAGGAAGAAGGGGGAAUUAUUGAAAAAUGGGCGGAAGCCUGAUGCAGCAACGCCGGGUGGGGGAGGACGGCUUUGGGUUUGAAAACCGUUUCCGCCGGUGAAGAAGGGGGGGGGACGGUAAGGGGUAAAGAGCCCCGGGAAAACUACGUC
rnacentral:rRNA from 1 species